UACGGGGGGGGCAAGCGUUGUUCGGAAUUACUGGGCGUAAAGGGCUCGUAGGCGGCCAACUAAGUCAGACGUGAAAUCCCCUCAGCUUAACUGGGGAACUGCGUCUGAUACUGGAUGGCUUGAGUUUUGGGAGAGGGAUGCGGAAUUCCAGGUGUAGCGGUGAAAUGCGUAGAUAUCGGGAGGAACACCGGCGGCGAAGGCGGCCCUCUGGACGGUGACUGACGCUAAGACGCGAAAAGCGUGGGGAGCAAACAGG
rnacentral:rRNA from 1 species